rnacentral:rRNA from 2 species
UGGGGAAUAUUGGACAAUGGGCGAAAGCCUGAUCCAGCAAUACCGCGUGAAUGAUGAAGGCCUUAGGGUUGUAAAGUUCUUUUAGUUGGAAAGAUAAUGACGGUACCAACAGAAAAAGCCCCGGCUAACUCCGUGCCAGCAGCCGCGGUAAGACGGAGGGGGCUAGCGUUGUUCGGAAUUACUGGGCGUAAAGGGCGCGUAGGCGGAUUAGUAAGUUGGGAGUGAAAGCCCGGGGCUUAACCUCGGAACUGCUUUCAAAACUGCUAGUCUUGAGUGAAGUAGGGGAUGAUGGAAUUCCUAGUGUAGAGGUGAAAUUCUUAGAUAUUAGGAGGAACACCGGUGGCGAAGGCGGUCAUCUGGACUUCAACUGACGCUGAGGCGCGAAAGCGUGGGGAGCAAACAGG